GACGAACGCUGGCGGCGUGCUUAACACAUGCAAGUCGAACGGAAAGGCCCUGCUUUCGUGGGGGGUUCGAGUGGCGAGCGUGUGAAUAACAUGUGAAUCACCUGCCUUUUACUUUGGGAUAUCUUCAAGAAACCGGGGAUACUACCGGAUAGUAGCUCCUGCUGCAUGGGGGGGGUUGGAAAGUUUCGGCGGUUGGGGAUGGAGUUGCGGGUUAUCAGCUUGUUGGUGGGGUAGUGGCUUACGAAGGCUUCGACGGGUAGCCGGCCUGGGAGGGUGAACGGCGACAUUGCGACUGAGAUACGGCGCAGACGCCUACGGGAGUCAGCAGUGGGGAGCAGUACACAGUGGGCGGGAGCCUGAUGCGGCAACGCCGGGUGUGGGAUGACGGCCUUCGGGUGGUAAAGCGCAUUCGCCUGUGACGGAGCGGGAGUGACGGUAAUGGGAGAAGAAGCACCGGCUAACUACGUG
rnacentral:rRNA from 1 species